GACGAACGCUGGCGGCGUGCUUAACACAUGCAAGUCGAACGGAAAGGCCCUGCUUUUGUGGGGUGCUCGAGUGGCGAACGGGUGAGUAACACGUGAGUAACCUGCCCUUGACCUUGGGAUAACUUCAGGAAACUGGGGCUAAUACCGGAUAGGAGCUCCUGCUGCAUGGUGGGGGUUGGAAAGUUUCGGCGGUUGGGGAUGGACUCGCGGCUUAUCAGCUUGUUGGUGGGGUAGUGGCUUACCAAGGCUUUGACGGAUAGCCGGCCUGAGAGGGUGACCGGCCACAUUGGGACUGAGAUACGGCCCAGACUCCUACGGGAGGCAGCAGUGGGGAAUAUUGCACAGUGGGCGGAAGCCUGAUGCAGCAACGCCGCGUGCGGGAUGACGGCCUUCGGGUUGUAAACCGCUUUCGCCUGUGACGAAGCGUGAGUGACGGUAAUGGGUAAAGAAGCACCGGCUAACUACGUG
rnacentral:rRNA from 1 species